rnacentral:pre_miRNA from 1 species
CACGUACUUCCUCCGUCUGGAAAUACUUGUCAUCAAAAUGGAUAAACGGAGAUGUAUCUAGACGUAUUUUAGUUUUAGAUACAUCCACUUUUAUCCAUUUUGAUGACAAGUAUUUUUGGACGGAGGGAGUACGUA